GAUGAACGCUGGCGGCGUGCCUAAUACAUGCAAGUCGAGCGAACGGACGAGAAGCUUGCUUUUCUGAUGUUAGCGGCGGACGGGUGAGUAACACGUGGAUAACCUACCUAUAAGACUGGGAUAACUUCGGGAAACCGGAGCUAAUACCGGAUAAUAUUUUGAACCGCAUGGUUCAAAAGUGAAAGACGGUCUUGCUGUCACUUAUAGAUGGAUCCGCGCCGCAUUAGCUAGUUGGUAAGGUAACGGCUUACCAAGGCAACGAUGCAUAGCCGACCUGAGAGGGUGAUCGGCCACACUGGAACUGAGACACGGUCCAGACUCCUACGGGAGGCAGCAGUAGGGAAUCUUCCGCAAUGGGCGAAAGCCUGACGGAGCAACGCCGCGUGAGUGAUGAAGGUCUUCGGAUCGUAAAACUCUGUUAUUAGGGAAGAACAUAUGUGUAAGUAACUGUGCACAUCUUGACGGUACCUAAUCAGAAAGCCACGGCUAACUACGUG
rnacentral:rRNA from 1 species